CGGCAAAAGCUCAAAUUUGAAAUCUGGUACCUUCGGUGCCCGAGUUGUAAUUUGAAGAUUGUACUCUGGAGUUGGCCCUUGUCUAUGUUCCUUGGAACAGGACGUCACAGAGGGUGAGAAUCCCGUGCGAUGGGGUGUCCAAUUCCAUGUAGAGUGCUAUCGAA
rnacentral:rRNA from 1 species